AGAGCGAACGCUGGCGGCAGGCCUAACACAUGCAAGUCGAGCGCGUGUAGCAAUACACGAGCGGCAGACGGGAGAGUAACACGUGGGAACGCGCCCUUUGGUUCGGAAUAACUCAGGGAAACUUGAGCUAAUACCGGAUAAGCCCUUACGGGGAAAGAUUUAUCGCCAAAGGAACGGCCCGCGUCCGAUUAGCUAGUUGGUGAGGUAACGGCUCACCAAGGCUACGAUCGGUAGCUGGUCUAAGAGGAUGAUCAGCCUCACUGGGACUGAGACACGGCCCAGACUCCUACGGGAGGCAGCAGUGGGGAAUAUUGGACAAUGGGCGCAAGCCUGAUCCAGCCAUGCCGCGUGGAUGAUGAAGGCCUUAGGGUUGUAAAGUCCUUUUAACGGGGAAGAUAAUGACGGUACCCGUAGAAUAAGCCCGGCUAACGUUCGUGCCAGCAGCCG
rnacentral:rRNA from 1 species